rnacentral:lncRNA from 1 species
AAAGAUUUGAAAAAAGACCUAUCUGACAAGUUUAACUGAAUGGAAAUACAAAGGGAAAUGAAGAUCAAGGAAAAGGAGCAAGCAAGCAUUCUAACUGCGGCUGACUCUAAAGUUACAAGGCUAAGAGAACAAUGUGUGUCUGGGCUACCACAACGCCAGGCCAAACUUCACCACGUUAGCACAGAAGCACCAGUCUGAAAAGCAAGAGCUCGCGUUCAAGUUCCGGCUCCCCAGACUGAAAAAGGCAGAACAAUAGCAACAACAAGAAUUCUCUGUGCCUGGCAACAACUGAGGCACUCCAUCUCUUCCAAGAUACUAUGCACCUGAAUGAAGAGAAGAAGCCACGUAAGGACACAAUGAGAAGGCAGCUGUCUACAAGCCAGGAUGAGAUGCCUCACCAGAGACCAACCCUGAUGAAACCAUGAUCUUGGAUUUCUAGUUUCCGAAAC